UACGUAGGGUGCGAGCGUUAAUCGGAAUUACUGGGCGUAAAGUGUGCGCAGGCGGCCGCGCAAGUCGAGUGUGAAAGCCCCGGGCUUAACUUGGGAAUUGCGCUCGAAACUACGUGGCUAGAGUGUGGCAGAGGGAGGUGGGAUUCCACGUGUAGCGGUGAAAUGCGUAGAGAUGUGGAGGAACACCGAUGGCGAAGGCAGCCUCCUGGGCCAACACUGACGCUCAUGCACGAAAGCGUGGGGAGCAAACAGG
rnacentral:rRNA from 1 species